GAUGAAGAACGCAGCGAAAUGCGAUAAGUAAUGUGAAUUGCAGAAUUCAGUGAAUCAUCGAAUCUUUGAACGCACCUUGCGCCCUUUGGCCAUUCCGAAGGGCAUGCCUGUUUGAGUAUCAUGAACACCUCAACUCUUCAUGGUUUUCCAUGAUGAGCUUGGACUUUGGGGGUCUUGCUGGCCUGUGGGUCGGCUCCUCUCAAAUGAGUCAGCUUGCCGGUUUUUGGUGGGCAUCACAGGUGUGAUAACUAUCUACGCUUGUGGUUUUCCACCAGGGUAACCUUCAGCAGUGGAGGUUCACUGGAGCUUACAAAUGUCUCUCCUCUGUGAGGACAGCCCUUUGAAUGUUUGAUCUCAAAUCAGGUAGGACUACCCGCUGAACUUAAGCAUAUCAAUAAGCGGAGGA
rnacentral:misc_RNA from 1 species